AACGCACCUUGCGCUCCUUGGUAUUCCGAGGAGCAUGCCUGUUUGAGUGUCAUGGUACCCUCAACUCCUGUCGCUUUUGCGGCGGGUGUUGGACGUGGAGGUUUGCAGGCGGACUCGUCUGUCUGCUCCUCUGAAAUGCAUUAGCUUUGACUUUUGUCGAGCGCGAUCCGACGUGAUAAUUGUCUGCGUCGUUUCGCCUCUGCAUGAAUAAGGUCUCGGCUUCCAACCGUCCCUCGCGGACAACACUUUAACUUCUGACCUCAAAUCAGGUAGGACUACCCGCUGAACUUAA
rnacentral:misc_RNA from 1 species